rnacentral:lncRNA from 1 species
CCUUCCUCUUCAUCGUCACUAGCGUUGGAUUUUUCCCUUCAAUCUAUCUCAAAUCGGAUCUUCAUAAGACAAAUAAAUCAAAUAUUAUUUUAAUUAUAAGAUUUAGAUUUAAUUAAUGAUAUCGAAAUAAGAUAUGGAUGAUGCUAUACAGCUUGUCAAGUUUGUCAAAAAAAAAUGAGAUACACUGAGAUUAAAUUUUGGUGUGAUCGAUGUAAUAUAGAGCUUAAAUAUCUAAUACUAAGAUUUGUUUCAUAUUUAGUACU